rnacentral:misc_RNA from 1 species
GUUUGCUUCCUUUCAGCAGGUCGUGGUCCCUUGCUAGUACUAAUCUUUACUUUUUACGCACAAUGGUAAAGCCAUUUAAAUCCUAAAGAUCGGAAGAGCAAGAAACAAAGAAUCAAAGAGCAGGUACCAGUCUCUACUUUGCUAGUCUCCUAAUGCUCUCUAUGGCCACAGACUAGUACCCUCCAAAAGCAAGAUCAUCAAGUCAUCAUUCUCAACUCCUUGCAGUAGAGGCUUCUCGAUGGAAAAGAAACAGAGAAAAGUUAGCUGGAUACUAGAUUUGCGGCAUUCUUUGGCUUCUACUCUAAUUCCUACUUCAUUUUUUUUUUUUAAUAGGAAAGAAGAAAUUGCUACUUAAUGCAUCCGUCCAAGCUUUGAA